GGUACCGUCAGGCCUGCCGCGUAUUAAACGACAGGAGGUUCUUCCCCUCUCGANAGAGCUUUACGACCCGAGAGCCUUCAUCACUCACGCGGUAUUGCUGCGUCAGGCUUUCGCCCAUUGCGCAAAAUUCCCC
rnacentral:rRNA from 1 species